CCGAGUUCCCAGUUGUCUUGAACUCACUGAAGUUAGAUUUCCCAGUUCCGAGUUAACAGUUGUUUUGAGCGCGGCAGAAAUCAUGCUGGAUUGACAGCAUGGCCAAUGUU